AGCGGGGCGGCGGAGGGAGCGCGAGGAAUGGCGCGCGGGCCCGGGGCGGGGAGAGCGCGAGGCGGGCGGGCCGGCGCGCGGGGAGGGGCGACCAUCUCCUCAGCGGCGGCGGGAGGCGGGAGGAGGCGAGGCCGCGCCGGGCCGUCCCGCUCUACCGGGGGGCUUCGGCGGGUCCUGGCCGCCCCGAGCCGGGUCCCCGCGGCACGAGAGAGCGGGGGGUGUCGGAGCCGCUUGUCCCCGGCGGCGGGGGCGCUUGGGCAGCGCGGGGUGCCACCGCUCGGGGUGUUCGCCCGUCCCCCCCGCCUUCGGGUGAGGGGGCUCUGGGCGGGGGAGGCGUUGCUUGUGGAAAGGAAUCCCGGGUCGGUCGUUUCCAUCUCUGGAAAUCUGCCUUGGAGGUGCGUGUAGCUGCUCCGAACGUGUCAGCAGGCGGCUUGCGGUGUCUCCGAAGCCUGCUCCUGCUUGGUAGUCACGUCCAGCUGUUGGAUGAAGUGGUGGGGCAGGGCCUGUGGUGCCAACGGGAGGGAUAUUCUCCUGUACCCUUUGCCAGGGGGACGUGUGAAACGAGGCGCAGGCGAUGCGAUGUCCUGGCAGGGCUCGCUCUGUGCGUCAGGUAUCGGAUCCACUGGCGUUCGACAGCGGCGAAGCCCCGCGCUUGCUUGUCCUGGUGCAUUUGUGACUGGUUUUGUCAAACGUAGGGGGCCGUUUUCGCUGGGCGUAGCAGAAGGUGGGUAAAACGUGCUCCGUUCGCCUGGUGAGGUUCCCGCUUGCCCCUUCGUGCGGAGUCACCGGGGUUUCGGUGCGCUAGUUCACCUUGCCUUCGCCUCAGGUGGCUGUGCAAGGAGGGCUGUAAACACCCCUCAGAGCUGUUUGGAACGUUUGAUGUUCAGUAUCAACAAAAAGAUGAGAAUUGCUAGAAGCCUGUCUGUCUUAAAAAUAUUUUGCAGUGCGGGAUGGCGAUACUUUUACCUGUGUCAUCUGCGGAUAAACUGUAAUGAAUGCGGUUGACAGCUUGAGCACCCGUUCUGAGAGCGUGCGAGCUGAGAGAAAGGUCACGCUGGAUCCAGCUUAAGGUGUGAACAAAUGUGGCCCCCAGGCCGAGGCUUCACAGAGGAAGGUUUGGUCUGGAAUUGGUUUUCGUGGCACAGACUGCGGAUAACCCAGAGAUGGGGGACUCAGCUCUGGAAACCCUUGCUUGAAAAGGCAGGCAUUUGAAGUCUCAGCCAGCAUUACUUCUCCCCAGGUAUUUGAGUUAAUGAACAUAAAUAGAAACCAGAUAAUUUUAAGCCACCUGUAGUAGAGCAAUUUCCUUUGCAGAGCAAAUUUUGCUACCGUCUCACUCAGAUUCUGACUAUGUGUAUCCCACGGGAGAGAAACCUCAGCAUCCAGUGUAAGGUCUCAGCAGGCAGGAAUUUUAAAAUUAUUUUUCCUUUUAAACAAAAUAUAACUAGCUACACUUCACCUUUUGUUUCUAGGGUAUGCAAAGGAAAAUCACACCGUGAAUAAAAAGUCACCCAACUAAAAAAUCUUUAAAAUCUUUCAAGUGAAUCAAUUUGGAAUAUUUUCUUUGAGCAGACUGACUUUCCCUUUAGCUGCGCGUGCCUGUUCUAUAGGCUGUUUGCGUUGUCCAGAGACUUCCAGGUAUUUAAGAUCCUCAUUCCUGAAGGUACCGUGCGUAAAAAAUACUCAAGGCGUUCCUAGAGUGCUUCCACAUUUGAAACCCAUCUCGGUCUCAGCGUUUGCAUUAAGCACUUCGCAUUUCAGCCACUGUGGAGGGAGCAGAGUGCCUGCAGCGCAUAGGUGCAGUGUGAUUAAGCCAUUUUAAGUACUGGUAUGGCCCAACGAGCUUGAAAGGGGUAGUCGUCGUUCUGGUGAGGCACCUCCUGGUUUGCUGCGGUGGGAGUGUGCCACAUGCCUGGUGGUUACUCUGUUGUACGGGUUGAAUCACGGGUGAUUGAAAUUUAGGACUAAAUCCCAAACUGAGCAAUCCCUGUGAUGUUUUUUGGUUUAUACCAUAAGUUUCACAGCAUCCCAGAAUGGCAGGGGUUGGAAGGGCCCUCUGGAGCUCAUCCCGUCCCACCCCCUGCUGGAGCAGGCACCCCCAGAGCAGGGGCACAGGGCCGCGUCCAGGCGGGGGGUGGAUGUCUCCAGGGAAGGGACCCCACAGCCUCUCUGGGCAGCCUGUGCCCCUGCUCUGGCACCCGCACAGGGAAGGGGUUUGGCCUCAUACUGAGGUAUCAAUUCCUUGAUAUUACUCACCCCACCCCAAAGUAGAGAUGGGCCGUAGCGAGGAGGAAGGGAGAUGUGCAUCCGCACUGCAUUCCUCAUGCUGGCGAGUUCUAGCUGGCUGCUGCAGGCUUGUGGAAAGGUAGGCAAUAGAUCUAGACCCAGUGACACUGAGAAAGGGACUGACGUAGGAGAACGUGCUGCUUCUUGAUUUUUUUUUAUUUUUUUUUUCUUUUUAAUUGAGAAAGUUCAUGCAACAAACACCAGUUUGGGGAUCAGCCAGCUGACCCUGCCUGGGAAGUGCUGUAUGUCUGCAAAAAGAGAAACUGAGGAUGUCUAGAAUGACUUUUUUCCCCAUUGCAGAUCUUGUUUUGUGGCUCCACAACAUUUAUAUGCAUUCACUGCUGCCUCCUCUCCAGCUGCAAGUCCAUAGCUAGCCAAUUUGGUAUUGACAGAUGCAUCACUACGGCUUCUCUAAUGGAGCCGGCACUGCUGACUGGAAGGUGUUUGUCCCCCCUUGGGUUAUUUUUGUCUGAGUAAUGCACAGGAACUUGAUAAUGGUUUGAGAUUUUUCUUUUUUUUUAAUAUUUCUUUCUCAGUGGAGUUUCUGCAUUGCACGAAACUUACCGGUGGGACUCAUACCACUGAAUCACUUCAGUUGGAAGGCACCUCUUGAGGUCAACACGUCCAACCCCCCGCUGAAGCAGGAUCAACUGGAGCAGGUUGUCCAGGGCCGUGUCAAGUCAGGGCGCUACUGAGAACAGCCUGGCUCCCUUGUCUUCGUUCCUUCCCAUCAGGUAUUUAUACACACUGGAGGAAACUGAGGAGCUGGAACAAGACACCUUAGGAAAAAUUCCAGCCAGGUGCCAUGCUUGGAAGAGCUCUGCUGGCCACGGGGAACGGCUCGGGGGUCGCCGCCGCUCUGAAGCGUUUCUUCCCUGCGGUGGGCGCCGGCGUGCGGGAGGCGCUGCCCGGGUGCUCGCGCCGGCCCUGUGCCCUGCGCCCAGCGCAGGACCACCCUGGCACCGUCCCCGCUCGGAUGCUGCAGACUGGUAGCUGGGCUGGUCGGUUUUCUCCUCCGUUCUGGAACGCAGACAUCAAAGGGAAAGAAACAUUCUGGCGAUGAAGAGCGCCGCUGGCGUUGGAUAGGCUGGUGUGGCUUCUUUACAAAGGUCACAGGAAGAGUGAAGACCUUUUUAGGAGAGCGAGCUAAUGCAGUCUCUCUCUGAAAGAGGUUCUGAUCCUCUGAAGCAAAUUCCAGCGUUGGAAGGGAAUCUGUGUCUCAGAAAAAAAUCCGUACGAGUUGCAGAGGACUCGUUGCAAGAAAAGAAACGUGGCUGUGAAAGAGACCGCUCUCUCUUGUUGGUUCGCAACAGAGCUGGGCAGCUUUCCUUUACCAGAACUGCUUAUGACAUGGCAACUUCUAUUCAAAGCAGAAGAUUAUAAAGUACCGAGAACAGCAAGUUCAAGCCUAUGUAUCGAACUGAGAUCACGUUGUUUUUGUUUGUGCCGACCGACUGGCUGCUCCUAAAAAAUUUUUCUCUUAGCAUUUGCGGCGUGAUUUCAGGAAUGCGAAACGCGUAGAGGUAAUUUUAAUAAGGGGACUUUGGGAUGUAGAUGCAUUUAUUUGUGUUUGCGCUCACGGAGCGCGAGAGAUUCUUUAAACAGAGGGAUCGUGCCCGUCCCAGGCAGAUGCGAUUUGCCACAUCCUGGUGUACUUCUCGUCAGUGUAAUGUGGCUCGUUCCUUUUUCCCUUGCCUUAAAGCCAAAGACCUUUUUCAUUAAUUACUCGCUGUUUCGGUGCUACUGCGUAUGUGAUAAGCCAAAUUCUUCUGCUCUUGAAACUAUUGGGAAGCUUUCCUGUCGAUUUUUAUGGGAGCAAUGUCAAGGGAGACAAAAGGGAAUCCUAAUAAGUUCCCAGUGUGGAAAGGCUUGCAGGAGUUUCAUUUUAAAGUUUGCAAGGUAGAACCCUUUGUGAAGACGCUUAUUUAUUCCUGGUGAAGAGGAUUAAUUUCACCAAGUGGCAGUUUUUGUAAUAAGUCCCUUAAUUCUGAUGUGUCGCACCGUUGCAGCGCUAGGAUUUUAAUGACGAGGUAGGAACAAUAAUCGUAACGUUCUUUUCUGAUUUCAUGUUUUUCAAACAUAAUGUUUGUGUUUUUCAAAAGUUUGAUGUGCUGUGAAUUUUAUGGCACUUUAUCGUAGUCGUUAGUGAACCAAGCUGGUCAUCACUAUUUUUUAAUAACUCUGGGUGGAGAAACUGCUUCUGAGAUGUAAGUAAUUUUAAAGAAUUUUAAAGCUGUACUUUCUAAGUUGUGCUGUACUGCUCAGGACUACCAAGUCUGAUAUAAAAAAAGAAUACGCGUGUAGGGCCACUGGCCUUAUAUGAGCCUUUUAGGCCUGAAUAUACAUUAAUUCAUAUUCACAUUUUUGCACGUGUGGAAGUUUGCACGUAUAUUUCUUGCGUUUCAGCCUGCAGACCGGGCAGCUAUUUAGAACCUAUCUGCUGUAGUUUUCUCCCAAGAAAAAAAGAGGUAGGAAAGCAAAGUGUACAUUAAAAUGUUCAUUUGAAAAGUGUUCACUUGCAAGUUGGAUUUUGACAUUUUUAAACUUGAAAAAGCCUAUGUUCUCCCCCACGUAGUGCGUCUAGAGGAGAAGCAAAUUUAUGAGUUGUGAGUAUUGUAAAGAAUAUAUUCACGAUUAUAUUGGGUUUUUUUUCCUUGGCCUGGUUUGAUUGCUUCUUUACUAAAAAUAGUAGCCUUAACUUUGAGUUUCCAGGCCUCUCUAGGCAUAAUGUUUUGAUGAAAAUUGUCUCCUUCCACCCCAGUUUUUUUACAGUAGUUUGUCUUAAUUCGAACCUAAAAAAUUCAGUGCGAUAAUACGGCGAUGAAUAUCAUCACUUCAGUAAGAUGGAAGUCCUGAUGUGAUUAAAGUUAGGUUUUGUGUUUGACAGAUGAUGGUGCAUCAUCCGUCCUCGACCACGGAGUUUUCAGCUGCAGACGUGGUCGGUGCUGUAGCCUGUGGUAGGAACUCUUCCCCUGCACUGCAGCGAUCCACAACUCAGCUGCACGCUAAGCACCAGGAUCACAGAAUCAUAGAAUCACAGAAUCAUUAAGGUUGGAAAAGACCUCUCGGAUCAUCAAGGCCAACCCCCAACCCAACACCUCCAGGCCUCCUAAACCAUGGCCCCAAGUCCCACGGCUACGCGGUGUUUGAACCCCCCCAGGGACGGUGACGCCCCCACCUCUCUGGGCAGCCUGUGCCAGGGCCUGACCGCUCUGGCAGGGAAGACAUUUUCCCUCAUCUCCAACCUAAACCUGCCCUGAUGCAGCUUGAGGCCGUUCCCUCUCGCCCUGUCACUGGUGACUUGGGAGCAGAGACCGACCCCCCCCUCACUCCAGCCCCUCUCAGGCAGCUGCAGAGAAAUAGAAAAUAGGAGCUUUUUCAAACCAAUCAGCUCCUAAGGAAGGCAUCCCAUGCACGUUUCCCUUGCUCAUUAGGGCAUAAAAGCUGCGGCUUUCAAGAGCAGCAUGAAAAAACCUCCAUUUCACUGCAGAGACAGGGUGAACUGGGGAAUUCACUGCAUUAUUCAUCCACUCGAGAGAGCAGGGUUACCAUCUAGUAUGGCAGAACAAAUGGGUUUUCUGUAAAUAUGAAAAUUAGAGUUAUUUGAGCAAAAGUGCAUUUGUACCAAAGUUUGUUAUUUGUGAUGUUGACUGAAGGGCGAGCACUGCGACGUACGUCUGACGCUCGCAUGAACGCACAACUUAAAAGCUGUUUAAUAACCUUUUGCAGCAUCUCAGCCGGCUCCGUCUAGGACAGAAGCAGCUAAAGGGGAGGAGACCCUGAAGAGCCUCGCGGACGCUCUGCAGCGAGUAGCGCGAAGCGUGCCCACGCAGGGCACGCCGGCUCCGCGUUCAGCCGUUACACCCACUCGUAAUGAUACCAUUGAUGCUCUUUGGUUAAAAGUAUACAGGAAACAUGCUAAAAAGCAGGAAAAAAAACCCUAGAAAACAUCGCAAUGACAGGAAAACCUACUCCAUGGACAACACCGUCGGUUUUGACGCUCUAAACUGACCCAGAUAUUUGUUUUAUGUGUUUAGGCGUCUGCUCAGCUGACAGCAGCACUGAAAGUUAGCCUUAAUACCUCAAACUGCUGCUACAUAAAAGAAAAAUAAGACUCUCGAUCAGUUAAUAAAUGGAUUUAGUGAGAUCUUUGAAGAAUGUUUUUAAAAGAGGAAUGCUAAAGAUCACAAUUAAGUUUGAAAACCCAGAACCUACCAGCAAAAUGACGGCAAAGGUUGCCUGAGCCUAAGAAGGUGGAACGUCAAGCUCUAGGCAAAGUCAUCUUGGGAAUGAUUGAAGCGUUACAGAUAGAGAGCGCGCCCGGGAGCGAUAAAGCGCAUCUCGGGGCGCGUGUUGAAUUGGCUGGAAUCGAGGCGGCAAAAGCUCGAGCGCUAGCAAAGUAGCAGGGGAAUUUGCGAGAACAACUAUAAUUUUUCGAAGGCUUCCUCUGCUCCUGUGUCUCCAUCUCUCUGUCCGCUAGGUCCAGGGGAGAGCUCGACUGAAACCAGGAAAAUACGGUCUCUGAUUAACCUGCUUGAUGGUUUUAGUCGUCAAUUAAAUACAUAUAGUGAUAGUUGCGUUGAGAAAAAAAUCCACUUUUUAAGAAUGUUGAAAACACUUCAAAAAAAGAGAUUGAAGUACUAACAUCUGGAACGCUGUCGCUGUCUUUCCUCGAGGUCUAAAAGACCGAUUCUCAGAUUCGUCAGUUACAGAUAGAGCUGUGUUUACCCCAGUAAUUAGCAGUUCGCAUUUUUAAAUGUUUUUACUCACGUCUGUCGUGUGACGACGAUAAAUUGGACCGUAGUGAAACAGAGAGUAACGCUCAGUGGGCUUGUCCAAAUUCUGUUGUUCCGUAUCCGCGAUGACAACUCAAGUCGCUGAUAUUUUUAGAAUACGCUCGGUGUUCGACGCUAAUGGCACAAUAAAUUGGCUCCAACAAUUU